rnacentral:lncRNA from 10 species
GACGCCAUUUUAGGCCUCAGCCCAUCUGCACCCAGGCGCUCACUGAAACAGUGUGUUGCUCCACACCGCCUUGUUUUGCUUGUUGGCGCGCUCUCAGGGUUCCGACCAAUCCAAGAGCCUUGCAGAAAGCAUUAACGUGCUUUUCUCUUUGGCAGAGUUUUUCUUUGCUCUGAUCUUGGAGACAUCCCUCUGCCUAGUGGAAACAUAAGGAAUACAGAAAGAAUGCAAGGAGAUAGACCAACGUGAGAUUCUCCUUCAUGCACUCAAGAGAAAGAUGUUGCAGGAAGAGCUAGUCUUUCAGGCUGGGCUGGUGACCUGAGAAAGAAUGUCCAGCUUUUCUUCUCCACUUGGCAUAUCAAGAGCCAGGCGUGGAAGACUAAAACAGGAAAUGUUUAUAAAAACUGUUCAGCGGUUCGCCAACAAGAAGUGGUAAAGUAGCAAAAAUGGGGAUGGAGAUGCCAGGAGGAAAGAUGCCAGGGGUAAAGUGGGAAAAUGGGAACCUGAAGCCAGGAGGUCAAGCCAAGCCAACAGGUGUUCUGUUUUUCAAUGAGGAGGUGGGGCACAGGAUGGAUGGAAACUUUCCACAGUCACAGAACUAAUAAGUGGUGCUGAGGACUCAAACCCGGGGAAGCCCACUCUAGAACCCAUGCUGGUCAUCCAUAUCCCCAAGGCCCUGGUCAGAACACAGCUAAGCAGAUGGCUUGGGUCAUCAGGACGUCCAUUACAUCCAAAGGAAGACAGCCUGUGACGUUUCAAAAGCAAAAGUCCCCUACCAGCCAGUGAAGCUACCUGAUUUCUCAGUAUCUUACGCCCAGUGACACGAUCUACCCUCAAAACUUAAAAAAAAAAGGGAAACAUAAACACAUAACAGCAGCAGCAAUAAUUAAAGAUGAGAUGAGAACAAUUAAGAAAAAAGGAAAGGUCUCCUGUGACUGUUUUAUUUUUAGGGAAACAGAGAGGAAGAAGAAUGAUUUUUCUUUUGAUGACUCUAUAUCCAACUCUGAGGUUUGAUUAAAGAAAUGACCUUGAACCACAGCAAAGAAAAAUAAAAGACAAUUUCCAGUAAGUAUGCCAGUUCGAAUUAAUGAUUUACUUUUUAUUUUUAAACUGAAUUCAGCAGAGAUUUACAUGCAUUACGAUGAUUAACAUCUGAAAUUUGACCUUGAAAUAAUCUUUACAUUGUAAAUUCUUAAUGAUCAAAACAAGGUUCUCAGUGAUUAAAACAUAUUAGUAAUUAAUUAUUAAAGGAGAAUAAUUGCAAAUACAACAUUCCUAAAAUCUCAAGGCUUUUAAAGCAUUUGUACAAAUGACUGGACAUUUUUUAAAUUUGAAAAAAAAAAAAAGCCCUCCAUCUGAUUCUCAUUUUCAUUGUCAGUGCAACAACAAAAAAGGUAUGCACUUCUCUUCUCAUUUUCCACUGUCUCGCAAGCUAGAAAUUCUCACGACUACCUUUGAUCCCAUCAAAGCCAAAGAAAGAAAAGAAAAUUGUUCUGUACAGAUAUAUGACAUUAAAAAAUAAUCCC